GAUUGCUCGGCGCGCGCGCCCCAUGUAACUUCCUCGUCUUCUUGCGACAGCUCGCGCUUUGAGGCGCCAUGUUAGACUGUACUAUGUCCGGGACCAGCCCGCUUUCGUAGCCGUUUACGCUACGUAGAAACUGCGACGUUGAACCAUCUUCAUGAUCGCCCACGAGUGACUUGCUCGCCGGCGUACAAAUGCCAUCGUCGUUUUAACAUACAACAUGCAUAUGGCAUAGCCAUAGGUGCGAUCCAAAAUGCGCACGUUUUAGGGAGCAAGAGAAUGUGAAAUUCACUUGCAAACACGGUGACUGCGUGCAUGGGGAGUUCCCCAAAAGUAGACACGGCGGCAGCGCGGAUGGUGGCGAUAAGGCAGGCGCCGACAAGCGACGACGCUACCUUUGAGCAUCGGACGCGCUGUGCGAGCCGUAGGAUGCAAGCGCACACAGGCUGUAAACAUACACUUCAGAGGUCUUAGAAUUUCCUGUGCCACACCCUGUGUCUCGAAAGCAUAAUACAUUUUUUUAUCCAACGGCCGUGGUACUAGAUAUCAAACAACGAACGCGCUUUGAGAGCACAGCGCGUUGAAAGAGUUUCGGAUUCAGCAACAGCCGCAACAUUACGCAGCUAAUCGCUGUCUCAGCGGCUGCUCCCGACACUCGCCUUGCAGAAGCAUGCGAUAAAAUUCUUGCCAUGGAAGCCUCCCAAGCCUGCAGCUCUCCUAUGUUCAGUGAAACAAACGAAGGCCAAAGAGAAAUGAAAGAAAUCAAACAACAGUUACGCGCCCACGUUAUACCGUACUUUUUACCGCGUCAUCUGCAAAGAUGCUGCAAACUACUUAAACAAAUUGUUGUUCAUACAAAUAAAGAUAUUAGUAAUAACUUUUACUCAUAGGUGACGCAAUAAACGCCAAACCAGUGUUUGAGCAUGAGUGUUUGAGUGUGUGCGCGCGUGCGUGACUUUAUUGUGAGCAGUCUUUUGCAACGGUAUCCAGUGUGCCGUUAGUUUCGUAGUCGCAAUUUUGUUCAUCGUAUUAUUUAUUUUUUACGCUACAAAUUAAGUUUUCCUUCAAAAUUUAUUAUAUUUUCUAUGAACAAAAAUUAUCAAUCAUUAUUUAUGGAUUUUAGUGGUUAUUUUUAGUAGGAACGAUUUUAUUAACUUAAUACGAUACUGAGGCUGUGGCCGCUUUUCGACUCUGUCACUCGUCUGAACUUGUGCGGUGGUUCGUGCGUGGUUCGUGCCGCGCGCGCUUUGUUGGAAGCAUUUUUCUUUUGUUUUUGGACAUCAUGACGCACGUUUUAGUGAAAUUGCUCUAUGAUGAUAAGUGGGAUGUUUAUCCGUUGAAGACGUUAGCUGACGCAGCUACUGGUCUUCGGGUGAUGUUCGAGCCUGGCAGUUUUGAUGAGUUGCGCGGCAGAAUUCAUGAUGGAAGGAAGGCGAACAAAGCCGCAGCCUGACUUCUGCACACAGGCAAACCGCAUGCCCUGGAGCGAAAGCGCGCGAAGCUAGCGCUUGCUGCCGCCGCUGCUUCGAUUGGAAUGUUACACAUGCACCAAAUGCCCAGGUGCUAACGUGUCGUUCGUCAAGAACAGCUUGGCGUCGUUUCUUGCAAGAGACAUCCAUUGAUCUGCGGCUGAUUCACCAGGAAGCUCGCAUCUCUGUUGCCACUCUGCGUCAAGUGGGAUUUUAACUAUUUUUUAUUCUGCCCUGUGGUGUACGCUGUGACGCUGUGAAGACUUACUUUCAUGGACGCUGUGAAGGCUUACUUUCGAUGUGUUCUGCCUUUUAGUUGUAAAGAAUUGGCUACCUUGUGAGUGGAGGUAGUUCCUUUUUCUUGUGAGAAUGUUUAUCAGCCUAACCAAGUGGUACCACAGGAACACAUACAAGCGCCGACUCAACUAGAAGUUUAUUAUUGAAGACAGGUUGUAAACACAUUGGAACUUGACAAAGAUAAGAAACCAUGUAUGCGUGGCCUUUGUGAUUAAAAAAAAAUGUGUUUUCUGCUGUAAGGGGUAGAACGAACAAUUGUUUCAUCACAAAGACCAGAACACAAGAGAAAUUAUGGAAGCCUUAUUUAUUGAUUGCAAAGAAGACAAAUGCAUAAGCUAUCUGUUGCUCUUAAUGGGAAAGAGUUGGGAUUUUUAAAAGAGCUCUCCUUGUUUGGUGGUAUCACUUAUAGGACAUCUCUCACUGUUUUUUUUUUACCUGCAUAUUUAUACUACAAAACACGUCUUUCGUUCCUUUUUUUUUGUUGCACCGGGCUGUCUGCCACGCAUGCAUGGCCAUUUCUUUUUCAAGUUGGCCAGUGUGCUUAAUAUCUUUGUCGUCACGAACAAACUUCUAGUUGAGUCAGCAUUAUUGUGUGUUCCUACCUUAUUUCACCGUUCUCAUCUUUGUUUGAGCUGUUUGUAAAGUAUGUACACACACCAAAUUACCAAUGUAUCCGUAAAAUUGAGAUACAUGAAGUUAUUUGCACUAUUCAUUUCUGCAAGAAUGGUAUAGCUCCUCAUCUCGUUUAUUCUUAACGUUGUUGUACAGUUUUUGUAAUAUAUAGCUUGGAAAGACGUUUUCUGUCAGAUUAAAUAUGCAUGUAUGUCACUUUCGAUAUUUUUUUUCAACAUGGGUAGUGCAGCUCCUUCCGUCUUUCAGUUACUGCUUUGUCGCAACUUUUAUAUAUUUUAUGCAGCGAAAUGCUGGUGGAAUUAUAUAUAUUUAUGUGCGCAAGUGUGGUAAAUGGUGUUUUGUAUGUGCAUUUAUUUGCGUUUUUUACUAGCUCUCCAAUCUGGCUGUACAGUUAUUGAAACCUUUUCUCAUGCUUUAUAUUGAGUCGUUCUAGGCUCUUUGAUGAUGCAGGUGACCAUUUAUUUCACUGUUGGGAAUUGUGUUAGCUGUGUGUCUCUCCAGUUGUCUGUGUAUUUUAUGUCACUUCAUUAUAUCAUUGAAACUAUUAGCCUUGCAUUAGCUUUUUAUUGACCGAGGUACCAGUUAGUUGCUGUGUAGGGUGAAAAAGGCCCAAAGAAAUGAUUUCAUUAGCUUUGUUCAAGUCCAGAAAAAAAUUCACUGAUGAGCUCACUAAAUUAGAAAAUGCCACCAGGAAACUCUUCCGCACCUAAAAGUAACACAAGAAAUUAAAUACUGUUCAUACUCGAGAGGGAAACAGCGCGAAAAAACUCGACAAGCAGGGAGACACACACCAGCGCUUCUUGUCCCUUCUUGUCUUCUUGUGUUUUUUUGCGCUGUUUCCCUCUCGAGUAUGCACCGACUAGCCCAAGCCUCUACUGUCUUGAAAUACUGUGCAGUUCUUGACUUAUGCCAGGGAGGUAAGCUGCUUUUACAGCACAAAUGUUUUAGAAGUUUACGUCUGAAAAACAUGAUUCAGGUGUUUUGUAUUUAUAUACAUGAAGUCAUUUGUUUCCAGUUUACUUAUUAUUUUGCCUACUCACAGGCAGCCGUAAACCCUUCUGUGAGUGUUUACUGGGUGUGUGAAGCAUUUUACUGUAAGGUAUCCAGUGGUCUUCAUUUUUGUAUUUAUGCAUGCAAGCCAAGAGUUCAUGUGUUCAAAGUUAGUUACAAGGGUAUGCUUAAGGUCUGCCUUUGAGUCACUUGACUGUUGUUUUUACAAAAUAUUUUUUUUCUGCUGUAAUUGUGAAAUAGAAUUCUUUCUGCUGUAAUAAACUUCAAGUUGAGUGAGCAUUCGUGUGUAUUCUUAUCUUAAUUCAGCGUUCGCAUCUCUGUUUGAGCUGCUGUUUGUCAAGUCUGUACAUACACCAAAUUGCCAAAGUGCUCGUAAAAUUGUGAGACAUAAGGCUAUUUGCAUUGUUUAUUCCUGCAAGAAGGCUAUAGGUUUCCAUCUUCCGUUUGUUUUUAACAUUGCUGUACAUCUUUGUAG